UGGGCGAGGGCGGCUGAGCGGC
rnacentral:miRNA from 1 species